rnacentral:rRNA from 1 species
CCUACGGGAGGCUGCAGUGAGGACUAUUGGUCAAUGGCCGUAAGGCUGAACCAGCCAAGUCGCGUGAAGGAAGAAGGAUCUAUGGUUUGUAAACUUCUUUUCUAGGGGAAUAAAGGUAUCCACGUGUGGAUAUUUGCAUUUACCCUAUGAAUAAGCCUCGGCUAACUCCGUGCCAGCAGCCGCGGUACUCCGGCGGAUGCGAGCGUUAUCCGGAUUUCUUUGUUUUAAAGGGUGCGUAGAUGGGUUGUUACGUCAGUUGUGAAAGUUUGCGGCUCAACCGUAAAAUUGCAAUUGAUACUGGCAGUAUGGAGUACAGUUGAGGGAGGCGGAAUUCGUGGUGUAGCGGUGAAAUGCUUAGAUAUCACGAAGAACUCCGAUUGCGAAGGCAGCUUACUAAACUGCCACUGACAUUGAUGCUCGAAAGUGUGGGUAUCAAACAGGAUUAGAUACCCUGGUAGUC